rnacentral:rRNA from 1 species
GGAUCGACGUGACGGUCGUGCCUUACGGGGUAUGAACUGUCGCAGUUGAUUUCUCACCUUCUGGAGAAGCUCGAUGUCCUUAAUUGGGUGUCUUGCGGAACCAGGACCUUUACCUUGAAAAAAUUAGAGUGUUUAAAGCAGGCAUUUUUGCUCGAAUACAUUAGCAUGGAAUAAUAGAAUAGGACGGCAUGGUUCUAUUUUGUUGGUUUCUAGGAUCACCGUAAUGAUUAAUAGGGAUAGUUGGG